GACGAACCGUGCGAACGUUGUUCGGAUUCACUGGGCUUAAAGGGCGCGUAGGCGGGCUCGCCAGUCUGUGGUGAAAGCCCCCGGCUUAACCGGGGAAGUGCCGUGGAUACCGCGAGUCUUGAGGAGGGUAGGGGCAUCUGGAACGCUGGGUGGAGCGGUGAAAUGCGUUGAUAUCCAGCGGAACUCCGGUGGCGAAGGCGAGGUGCUGGACCCUUUCUGACGCUGAGGCGCGAAAGCCAGGGGAGCAAACGGG
rnacentral:rRNA from 1 species